GUGGUGUGUGCAAACUGUGAAGGCUCUAUUGUGAUGAAUAAUGGAGCAUGCGCAGUGAGCUGACCAGAUGGACAACUUGCUGGAGGUACCGAGGUGGUAACUGAACCAUGCGUCAUGGCACAAUUUAUUUUUCUCUCUAAUCAUCUCAUUUUCUAACUGGACCUGAGAUGCAAACUGAUAUAAGCCUUAAUAGUGGAGCCAGCAGGCCUCAUCAACUCAGACGUCUGGCCGCUGCCCAUGGCCUCGCGUGCUCAUGGCAGCGCCGCUUGACGUCGCGGACAUACUCAUGUGGACGGCCCAUUUGAUCCAUCCUCUUUGGACUACAUAUAUGUUGUAUAGAGGUGUUAUGUUUGGUGUUUUUUUAGGGUCUUUAAAUUUAUCAUGUCAAUGGUCAAAUUAUUCUUCCCCGCAAAAAAGGUCAAAUUGUUCAAAUGUGGCAGCAAGUUCUCGGUAGCGAGCGAACACUUCUCAAUUUUUGUGCCUGAUAUUCAUAUAGGUGCCAAGUUGUCUGACAGUCAAUGAAUUACCUCUUGUGUUUCCUGGGUUUAACAUCUAGAAAUCGAUGGCAAGUUAUUUUUUAUGACAUUUACUCGCCAAUAAAUCAUGUGACUUUAUACUUCUUUUUGCCUUGUUACUAAAAAGGUCUAACUAAUGUGCGUAAGGAUCAUAAGACAUAAAUGGUGUUGAAUCAUAUAAUAUUCACCAAGAUCAUAAUUUUAUAUUUUGUUCACCAAGAUCUUAAUUUUAUAUUUUCCUUUUGUAAAACCGUGAGAUGAUUGUCCAUGAUUUAUAUUAACAUACCGGCUAGCAGCUAGGUAAUCCGUUCAAGCUGAGAUUAGCUUAGCUAGCUGUAGCCAUCGAAUUAUUAGGGUGUCUGAUGUAAUUGAUGGUGUAAUGGGGUCAUUGUUUUACGAUUUAUGGACCUUACAACCUGACCUGACGUGAGAAAAUUAUUCCCAGUUCAAUUUUGUCAGAGAAUGUACAAUGCCCCCUAGAGUAAUUGUCUGGUUGAGCUAAUGUGUAACAUGUAAUAUAUAUGUACAUGAUCAUUUAAUUUCAAUCUACUGUGAAAUUAUUGCAAUAGAUCGUGUUUGAUCACUUUGAGAAGCAUCACCCAUUGUUUGUUUGUGUUGUACUGUUGUAUGCCUGCUGAUUUCAUUGCUUGAGAGUCUAGACUUCAGAGUAAUAGAGUACUGAAACCUACCAGUUAACAGUGUUUUUCUUGUUUUCUACUAAAACUUGAGAUGUUAUCACAAUUGCUUUGCCUAAGAGGGCCAAGAUAGGUAUUUCCACUAAUUGUCCAUAUUUGGAUCUUAGGUUAGCCAACUCUGAAGAAAUUACUCUGAACACAAAAUAAAUCUGCAACAGUAUACAUCGAAAGGUACAGUAAGUUCCCACUAUUUGUGCAGCAAUUAUGUGAUAAUUUUUUCAGUUUAUCUUUGAUACAAUUACGUGUACAGUCUCUGGAUUUGUUGCCUUAUAAGAGACUGAAUUUUGUGUGGAUUUCUUGAUCCGCUUUUGACUAUGGCAGUUGGUAGCAACAUCUAGCAGCAACAACCAAUUAUUAAUCACAAGCUAAGGUAAUGACGGGGAACUGGAACGAGGAGCAGGUAAUGUACUCAUCAGGAAUGGAAGCUGCCCCUGCACGCACACUUGCUUGCUUGCCCAUUUACUGCUAUUUGCUGCUCAAGAGGAUGACAAUGUUCACACCGAAUUUGUUCGAAGAAAUGACCCAGUGGGUGGG
rnacentral:lncRNA from 1 species